AGUGAACGCUGGCGGCAGGCCUAACACAUGCAAGUCGAACGGCAGCACAGUAAGAGCUUGCUCUUACGGGUGGCGAGUGGCGGACGGGUGAGGAAUACAUCGGAAUCUACUAUUUCGUGGGGGAUAACGUAGGGACACUUAUGCUAAUACCGCAUACGAUCUACGGGUGAAAGCAGGGGAUCUUCGGACCUUGCGCGACUGAAUGAGCUGAUGUCGGAUUAGCUAGUUGGCGGGGUAAAGGCCCACCAAGGCGACGAUCCGUAGCUGGUCUGAGAGGAUGAUCAGCCACACUGGAACUGAGACACGGUCCAGACUCCUACGGGAGGCAGCAGUAGGGAAUAUUGGGCAAUGGGCGCAAGCCUGAUCCAGCCAUGCCGCGUGAGUGAUGAAGGCCUUCGGGUUGUAAAGCCCUUUUAUUAGGGAAGAAAAGAAGCAGAAGAAUACCCCGCUGUUCUGACGGUACCCAAUGAGUAAGCACCGGCUAACUUCGUG
rnacentral:rRNA from 1 species